UACGGAGGGUGCAGGCGUUAAUCGGAAUUACUGGGCGUAAAGCGUGCGCAGGCGGUUUGUUAAGUCUGCUGUGAAAUCCCCGAGCUCAACUUGGGAAUUGCAGUGGAUACUGGCAAGCUAGAGUAUGGUAGAGGAAGGUGGAAUUCCCGGUGUAGCAGUGAAAUGCGUAGAGAUCGGGAGGAACACCAGUGGCGAAGGCGGCCUUCUGGACCAAUACUGACGCUCAUGCACGAAAGCGUGGGGAGCAAACAGG
rnacentral:rRNA from 1 species